rnacentral:rRNA from 1 species
GGCGAACGCUGGCGGCGUGCUUAACACAUGCAAGUCGAACGGAAAGGCCCUGCUUUUGUGGGGUGCUCGAGUGGCGAACGGGUGAGUAACACGUGAGUAACCUGCCCUUGACUUUGGGAUAACUUCAGGAAACUGGGGCUAAUACCGGAUAGGAGCUCCUGCUGCACGGUGGGGGUUGGAAAGUUUCGGCGGUUGGGGAUGGACUCGCGGCUUAUCAGCUUGUUGGUGGGGUAGUGGCUUACCAAGGCUUUGACGGGUAGCCGGCCUGAGAGGGUGACCGGCCACCAUAGGCCUGAGAUACGGCGCAGUGUCCUACGGGAGGCAGCAGUGGGGAAUAUUGCACAAUGGGCCGAAGCCUGAUGCAGCAACGCCGCGUGCGGGAUGACGGCCUUCGGGUUGUGAACCGCUUUCGCCUGUGACGAAGCGUGAGUGACGGUAAUGGGUAAAGAAGCACCGGCUAACUACGUG